rnacentral:tRNA from 1 species
AAAAAUUUAGUUAAAAAAUAACGUUAGUUUGUCAAACUAAAAUUAUUAUUAAAUAAUAAUUUUUA